rnacentral:rRNA from 1 species
UACGAAGGGGGCUAGCGUUGCUCGGAAUCACUGGGCGUAAAGCGCACGUAGGCGGCUUUCUAAGUCAGGGGUGAAAUCCUGGAGCUCAACUCCAGAACUGCCUUUGAUACUGGCAACCUUGAGUCCGGGAGAGGUGAGUGGAACUGCGAGUGUAGAGGUGAAAUUCGUAGAUAUUCGCAAGAACACCAGUGGCGAAGGCGGCUCACUGGCCCGUAACUGACGCUGAGGCACGAAAGCGUGGGGAGCAAACAGG